rnacentral:rRNA from 1 species
GAGUUUGAUCCUGGCUCAGAGUGAACGCUGGCGGCGUGCCUAAUACAUGCAAGUCGAACGAUGAAGCUUCUAGCUUGCUAGAAUGCUGAUUAGUGGCGCACGGGUGAGUAACGCAUAGGUCAUGUGCCUCUUAGUUUGGGAUAGCCAUUGGAAACGAUGAUUAAUACCAGAUACUCCCUACGGGGGAAAGAUUUAUCGCUAAGAGAUCAGCCUAUGUCCUAUCAGCUUGUUGGUAAGGUAAUGGCUUACCAAGGCUAUGACGGGUAUCCGGCCUGAGAGGGUGAACGGACACACUGGAACUGAGACACGGUCCAGACUCCUACGGGAGGCAGCAGUAGGGAAUAUUGCUCAAUGGGGGAAACCCUGAAGCAGCAACGCCGCGUGGAGGAUGAAGGUUUUAGGAUUGUAAACUCCUUUUGUUAGAGAAGAUAAUGACGGUAUCUAACGAAUAAGCACCGGCUAACUCCGUGCCAGCAGCCGCGGUAAUACGGAGGGUGCAAGCGUUACUCGGAAUCACUGGGCGUAAAGAGCGCGUAGGCGGGAUAGUCAGUCAGGUGUGAAAUCCUAUGGCUUAACCAUAGAACUGCAUUUGAAACUACUAUUCUAGAGUGUGGGAGAGGUAGGUGGAAUUCUUGGUGUAGGGGUAAAAUCCGUAGAGAUCAAGAGGAAUACUCAUUGCGAAGGCGACCUGCUGGAACAUUACUGACGCUGAUUGCGCGAAAGCGUGGGGAGCAAACAGGAUUAGAUACCCUGGUAGUCCACGCCCUAAACGAUGGAUGCUAGUUGUUGGAGGGCUUAGUCUCUCCAGUAAUGCAGCUAACGCAUUAAGCAUCCCGCCUGGGGAGUACGGUCGCAAGAUUAAAACUCAAAGGAUAGACGGGGACCCGCACAAGCGGUGGAGCAUGUGGUUUAAUUCGAAGAUACACGAAGAACCUUACCUAGGCUUGACAUUGAGAGAAUCCGCUAGAAAUAGUGGGGUGUCUGGCUUGCCAGACCUUGAAAACAGGUGCUGCACGGCUGUCGUCAGCUCGUGUCGUGAGAUGUUGGGUUAAGUCCCGCAACGAGCGCAACCCCCUUUCUUAGUUGCUAACAGGUUAUGCUGAGAACUCUAAGGAUACUGCCUCCGUAAGGAGGAGGAAGGUGGGGACGACGUCAAGUCAUCAUGGCCCUUACGCCUAGGGCUACACACGUGCUACAAUGAGGUGCACAAAGAGAAGCAAUACUGCGAAGUGGAGCCAAUCUUCAAAACACCUCUCAGUUCGGAUUGUAGGCUGCAACUCGCCUGCAUGAAGCUGGAAUCGCUAGUAAUCGCAAAUCAGCCAUGUUGCGGUGAAUACGUUCCCGGGUCUUGUACUCACCGCCCGUCACACCAUGGGAGUUGUGUUUGCCUUAAGUCAGGAUGCUAAAUUGGCUACUGCCCACGGCACACACAGCGACUGGGGUGAAGUCGUAACAAGGUAACCGUAGGUGAACCUGCGGUUGGAUCACC